rnacentral:rRNA from 1 species
UACGAAGGGGGCUAGCGUUGCUCGGAAUCACUGGGCGUAAAGGGUGCGUAGGCGGGUCUUUAAGUCAGAGGUGAAAUCCUGGAGCUCAACUCCAGAACUGCCUUUGAUACUGAGGAUCUUGAGUUCGGGAGAGGUGAGUGGAACUGCGAGUGUAGAGGUGAAAUUCGUAGAUAUUCGCAAGAACACCAGUGGCGAAGGCGGCUCACUGGUCCGGUACUGACGCUGAGGUGCGAAAGCGUGGGGAGCAAACAGG